AUGGAUAGAGUUGGGAACCCUCACUACCAAUCAUGCCUUCAGGUCUCCUGGGGCAUCGUCACAGGAACAGCAGAGACUGACAACUGCUCCCUACCUCAUUUAAGGGUUGGCAGUGGAGGUGUGGGUACUUUGCUGGUGAUCCCUGUGUUCUUGAGGUCUUCUAAAGGUUCCCUGGUGCAGGCAGCACUGACUCAGCCGGCCUCAGUGUCAGCGAACCUGGGAGAAACAGUUUCCACUGACACCCACAUCUGUUCCUGGAUUAACAACUAUUAUGGCUGGUACCAGCAGAAGUCACCUGGCAGUGCCCUUGUCACUGUGAUCUAUGGUAGCACCAACAGACCCUCAGGCAUCCCUUCACGAUUCUCCGGUUCCGUAUCCGGCUCCACAGCCACAUUAACCAUCGAUGGGGUCCAAGCCGAGGACGAGGCUGUCUAUUACUGUGGGAGCUACGACAGCAGCGGUACUGGUUAUGGGUGAUCCAGAGAGAUGUUGCACUGAAUUGAUGCCAAGUCUUAAAAAUGCCAGCAGAUGUGGGAUGGGGCCCAUUGCCCAAAGACCCCAGCUG